CCCCUAGAUGUUCUGGGCCGCACGCGCGCUACACUGAACAGUUCAACAAGUCUUAACCUUGGCCGAUAGGUCUGGGUAAUCUUUGAACGCUGUUCGUGAUUGGGAUAGACCUUUGCAAUUAUGGGUCUUCAACGAGGAAUUCCUAGUAAACGCAAGUCAUCAGCUUGCAUUGAUUACGUCCCUGCCCUUUGUACACACCGCCCGUCGCUCCUACCGAUUGAGCAAUCCGGUGAAUAUUUUGGACAGUCGAGCGUAUCGGUUCGCCGGUGUGCUUGUACUGGAAAUCAAGUGAACCUUAUUGCUUAGAGGAAGGAGAAGUCGUAACA
rnacentral:rRNA from 1 species